GUUGCAGGGUAUAGACCCGAAACCCGGUGAUCUAGCCAUGGGCAGGUUGAAGGUUGGGUAACACUAACUGGAGGACCGAACCGACUAAUGUUGAAAAAUUAGCGGAUGACCUGUGGCUGGGGGUGAAAGGCCAAUCAAACCGGGAGAUAGCUGGUUCUCCCCGAAAGCUAUUUAGGUAGCGCCUCGUGAAUUCAUCUCCGGGGGUAGAGCACUGUUUCGGCUAGGGGGCCAUCCCGGCUUACCAACCCGAUGCAAACUGCGAAUACCGGAGAAUGUUAUCACGGGAGACACACGGCGGGUGCUAACGUCCGUCGUGAAGAGGGAAACAACCCAGACCGCCAGCUAAGGUCCCAAAGUCAUGGUUAAGUGGGAAACGAUGUGGGAAGGCCCAGACAGCCAGGAUGUUGGCUUAGAAGCAGCCAUCAUUUAAAGAAAGCGUAAUAGCUCACUGGUCGAGUCGGCCUGCGCGGAAGAUGUAACGGGGCUAAACCAUGCACCGAAGCUGCGGCAGCGACACUGUG
rnacentral:rRNA from 1 species